AUGCCUGUAAUUACCAUUUCCCUUCUGAUGCCGUCUGAUGUCAGCAGCUAAAAGUGGCAGAAGAGUGGAUGGGCUGUAAUAGCGCAUACCAAACUACCGUACUGCAAGUACAGAACAGCUUGAACCAGUUCUAAGAGACAGAAUCAUAUGAUGAUGCUGUUCUUCUAAGAAGAAUAUCUUGUGCAAUAUGUGAAAGGCCUUUCAGUAAGAGUUAACCAGAGUAACUGCUGGCUCUGCCAUGGAACUUAAGCUGGUCAACGCAAUUAAAGGAAAAUGAAAAUGUUCUCAUAUGAUGUAAGCUGUGAGAAGGAGGAGGAAGUGGUAGCUUGACGGAUGAAAAGAUUUGAGAAACAGGAAAGGAUGAGGUGAUACAUGACUGUCAGGGUUCAGAGACACAGAAACAUAAGAAAAGCAACCAAGUAGAGCUGGGGAAGACAUUACCAACAGGAGCUGAAGGAAUUGAUAGGAGCACAGAGCCAGAACAGGAGGGACAGGAAAUCUGGAAAGACAAGACAGAGGUUUAUAACCUGUGUAGAAAUGAAGUCAGACAGUCUUCACAGAACUGAAGUUGGGAUUCCUGAGCUCUUCUGUUGUCCAGCAAAUUAUUUAAAAUCCACUGUUCUCCAGUGGCUUAUCCAUAUAAAAAGAUAUUACCUCUGCCAGUUGUUUUGUUUCCAGUGGUAGAGGUAUGUGACUCUUAAAUGUCCAACACUGCUGAUGACUCUUGGAAAGUGCUUGGGAAUUUCAUUUUGAUUCCAUUAAGUAAUUAGCUGUGCUUUUUGUUCUUCCUCAAAAAAAAAAU